GACGAACGCUGGCGGCGUGCUUAACACAUGCAAGUCGAACGGAAAGGCCUCUUUCGGGGGGUACUCGGGUGGCGAACGGGUGAGUAACACGUGAGUAACCUGCCCUUGACUUUGGGAUAACUUCAGGAAACUGGGGCUAAUACCGGAUAGGAGCUCCUGCUGCAUGGCGGGGGUUGGAAAGUUUCGGCGGUUGGGGAUGGACUCGCGGCUUAUCAGCUUGUUGGUGGGGUAGUGGCUUACCAAGGCUUUGACGGGUAGCCGGCCUGAGAGGGUGACCGGCCACAUUGGGACUGAGAUACGGCCCAGACUCCUACGGGAGGCAGCAGUGGGGAAUAUUGCACAAUGGGUGGAAGCCUGAUGCAGCAACGCCGUGUGCGGGAUGACGGCCUUCGGGUUGGAAACCGCUUUCGCUCAUGACGAAGCUUUGUGUGACGGUAGUGGGUAAAGAAGCACCGGCUAACUACGUG
rnacentral:rRNA from 1 species